CGGACACUUGCUGGAAGGCAGGGAAUUGCAAUGAAAGAGCACGGAGGUGAGAAGCUGUGCUCCUUGGGGUGAAGGCAGCUUCUGUGCUCCUGGGAUCUACUGUUAAGCCAGGGUGACGCCAGCUUGCAUGCUACCGGAGGGAUGAGUCUUUGGCUCAGCAGAAUGGGCCUAGGUGGAGCUUGAAAUUAAUGAAGAGAUGCUGCUUCCAGCUUUUUGAGCAAGAAGAAGUUUGGCCUCCAGUUAUUACACCUUGAGGUCAGCGGGUAUCUCAAGUCUGAGUAGUUAUAAAAGUGAGCUGAUGUAGAAACACCACCAAAGCAACGUUUUAUCUAAAUAUUUCAGAUCCCC
rnacentral:lncRNA from 1 species